UUCUUCCUGUGGCUGCAGAGAUGAAGGGAACGAAGGUUAGCUCAUGAAUGGUAUGGGGCUGGUGUUUUGGAGUAUACUGGGGGUGGCAGCAGGGGCAACUAUUUGGGAGUUAAAAGGUCCUGGCGCUGGAUAUAGAGAUGGAUUGUGGCAAAGGACUACUAUGAGAAAAUAGAAAAGGAGGCAAGCUGUAAUUGUGUUUAUCAAUCCUUUUGAAUUUUGAAACUUCAAUUUCCACAAAAGAGCUGAUGGAUGGAUGUCAAGAAAAAUGUCGCUGGGGACUUAUUCCUUGUUGGAGUAAUUAACACACUGUUUGACCUCUGGUAACUAAAACUGCAGAAGGCAAAACUGGAUAAGAAGACUACUGUAAUGAUUAUGCUAUUACAAGACGCUCGAUUGCUAACAUCAGACAUUUUUAUAAUAGGCCAGAAUCCUGCUAGGACAUCUCUGCCUGUGGAAGGAGGGCUGGAUGGCAUACUGGGAAUGGCGUUCUAGGAUGACUUCCUGUUGCUACAGACUACACGCAGCACUUCUGGCCUUGAUGUUGUCUAAAUGAAGAAGGCAUAGGAGUUUCACCAAAGCACUCUCCUCUCCAAGAAAUUUCAGCAUGGAGAGAAAGAAAGUUUUACCACCAAUUUGUGCCUGAAACACAAGAUGAACAGACGUCUUCUGCAUUAAAAAAGGACACAGGCAUGCAUUAAAUCCCUUAUGUCUUACUUUUUAAUGAUGCAAUUGUGAAUUAUGUUCUUGUUGCAUUUGUAAUUAGAGGCUGCAGCAGAUGGUGAAGACUUAUUUUAAAGUGAUGUGUCUAUUAAAAUAAGCCACACUGCCAAAUGAUUGUUCACUGUAACAGCAUCUUUACACCCCUGAAACACUCUGAUUCUUUGUUGAUGUGCGGUUGAUUACCACAGCUGAUUACAUAUGUGCACAUAUUUGCUCAAAAAUGUAUCAGGGAUAUUUGAUAUGUGCAAUACUUUAUUUUAAAGUGUGUGUUAUCACAAUUAUAGAUAAUGAAGCUUUCAAUGAAUUAUUCAGUUACACCAUCUACAAAGGGAAUGCACUGAUUUCCCUUUUCAAUAAAAUUAGGCAUGAAUCUUUCUAAACUAUUGAGGCCGAUCCUCCCCACACAGUGGGAGAAGCAUUGAACGGAGAAUAGGGAAUUUCUGAGUAUUGAAAGAUUCUCUUAUCUAAAAUCUUGUAAAGAGCAGAUUUUGUAGGGUGAAUUCAGUCUAUGAAUAGUGAUGGUUUCUCCAGCUAAAUGUGGGGAUGGAGGGAGAUAGGCAUUGAGGAAGGGCCAGGUAAAAAUGCAGUAGAGUAAGUAGUGAAAUUGAUGGCAGGUAUUGGACUAGGUUAAUCUGUGAUAACACACAAUACCUAAAUCUCAGUGGCUUAUAAAGAUCUACUUCUCUCUCUGACUACAUGUCUAGCAUGGUUUAUAAAAGGGACUCUGCAUCAUAGUCCAUAAGGGACCAGGCUGAUGGAGACUACAUCUCCACACAGCCUUCUGCAAUCCCUUUGCCAAUAGGAAAAGGAUGUGGUAGCUUAUAUACUAGCUUUUAAACUUCUUUCUGGAAGAGUCACAUGACAUGUGAUGAAACCUAACAUUAAGAAGGCAGAGAAGGCCGGGUGCAAUGGCUCACGCCUGUAAUCCCAGCACUUUGGGAGGCCGAAGUGGGCAGAUCACGAGGUUAGGAGAUCGAGACCAUCCUGGCUAACACAGUGAAACCCCAUCUCUACUGAAAAUCCAAAAAAAUUAGCCAGGCAUGGUGGUGAGUGCCUGUAGUCCCAGCUACUCGGGAGGCUGAGCAAGGAGAAUGGCGUGAACCCGGGAGGCAGAGCUUGCAGUAAGCAUUGAUUGCGUCACUGUACUACAGCCUGGAGGACAGAGCGAGACUGUCUCAAAAAAAAAAAAAAA